UACGGAGGAUGCGAGCGUUAUCCGGAUUUAUUGGGUUUAAAGGGUGCGUAGGUGGUCUUUUAAGUCAGCGGUGAAAGUUUGUGGCUCAACCAUAAAAUUGCCAUUGAAACUGGGAGACUUGAGUAUGUUUGAGGUAGGCGGAAUGCGUGGUGUAGCGGUGAAAUGCAUAGAUAUCACGCAGAACUCCGAUUGCGAAGGCAGCUUGCCAAGCCAUAACUGACACUGAAGCACGAAAGCGUGGGUAUCAAACAGG
rnacentral:rRNA from 1 species